AUGCGCCACUCGUACACUGCAGUUCCUGAGCGCCAUCCACAGCCACUGGACGACUGUCGCUCGUCUUGUGAGCC
rnacentral:sRNA from 1 species